rnacentral:lncRNA from 1 species
GGCUGCUGCAGUACAAGUCAGCAUAGCUAAUGCAGAUAGAUCUCCUGCCUCUCGCUCUCCUCCUCCCUCGCCUUUGAUUCGAUAUGAACAGCCUGGUAACUCCGAUGCUGGGGAGAAAUCUGACAUAACUCUGCAGAUGACUAGGUGGCCAUGAAACACCUGGGGAUUGUUCUUUAAGAAAAGCAGCCACUGGAGAGGAAAGACAGCCAGAACAGCUCCCAGCACAGUGUGUCCAGCCUCCGGAGCCUGCACACAGCUUCCCCGAGCCACAGUGCACAGGUGCUCCCUGAGUACCCACCUGCAGACGUCCCUGCUCCAGAUCAGACCGACAGCUCUGGGCAGAAAAAGCCAGAUCCCUUUAAAAUCUGGGCCCAGUCGAGGAGCAUGUAUGAAAACCGAC